GUUGAUUCUAACAUUGCUAGUUUCACUUUCACAUGUUCGGAUGUCCGAAACCUCCAGCUGGUGGGGGAGGUGGUGGGAUAGGCCUAACACCAUUAGCCAUUGGAGGUGGUGGCGGCGGCAGUGAGCUAGAUGGAGGAGGUGGUGGCGGUUGAGCUUGAGGCGGUGGUGGUGGUGGCGGCGGCAGAAGGCCAUUUGCUCCAACAUUAGACUGAGGCUUGAUUGGUUCUGGCUUGUUCGGCUUGAAA
rnacentral:lncRNA from 1 species